rnacentral:lncRNA from 1 species
CCUUCAGACGCGAUAACAAGAACAAGCUCUUGGAACAUAAAGGAGUCAUUUUUUCGAACAAAAAUACAUUUGUUGUGGACCUGGGAUUCCUGGAAGUGCUUUCUGAUGAAGACAACCAAAGAACAACUUGUCAGGUGGUGCAUUGGAGACUGAUGUGUUCCUGUCCUGUCUUUUCACAAUACUAUUGCAGGUAUGGUUCUAUUGUCUAAGAAUUAAGAUUAUACAUUCUUUGUAUUAAGGACUGGUUAUUAUUUUAUACUAUACAUUAUGGCUUUAUGUAUGAGUGUGAUUGUGAGAGUCUGAGAAAACACUGAGAGAGAAAGAACAACUUGUCAGGUGGUGCAUUGGAGACUGAUGUGUUCCUGUCCUGUCUUUUCACAAUACUAUUGCAGAUCAACAUAAAAG